UGGACAGACGGAUUUCAGCUAAAUACGAAUAACUCACUCACAUGAACCCUUGACCACCUUUUUACGGUGGAUGCCAAACUAAGGAUUGAUGUGCGAAGGCG